rnacentral:rRNA from 1 species
UUAAGCGACUAAGCGUACACGGUGGAUGCCCUGGCAGUCAGAGGCGAUGAAGGGCGUGCUAAUCUGCGAUAAGCGCCGGUAAGGUGAUAUGAACCGUUAUAACCGGCGAUACCCGAAUGGGGAAACCCAGUGUGACUCGUCACACUAUCAUUAACUGAAUCCAUAGGUUAAUGAGGCGAACCGGGGGAACUGAAACAUCUAAGUACCCCGAGGAAAAGAAAUCAACCGAGAUUCCCCCAGUAGCGGCGAGCGAACGGGGAGGAGCCCAGAGCCUGAAUCAGCAUGUGUGUUAGUGGAAGCGUCUGGAAAGGCGCGCGAUACAGGGUGACAGCCCCGUACACAAAAGCGCAUGUGCUGUGAGCUCGAUGAGUAGGGCGGGACACGUGGUAUCCUGUCUGAAUAUGGGGGGACCAUCCUCCAAGGCUAAAUACUCCUGACUGACCGAUAGUGAACCAGUACCGUGAGGGAAAGGCGAAAAGAACCCCGGCGAGGGGAGUGAAAAAGAACCUGAAACCGUGUACGUACAAGCAGUGGGAGCACAGGUUUACCUGUGUGACUGCGUACCUUUUGUAUAAUGGGUCAGCGACUUAUAUUCUGUAGCAAGGUUAACCGCAUAGGGGAGCCGGAGGGAAACCGAGUCUUAACCGGGCGUUAAGUUGCAGGGUAUAGACCCGAAACCCGGUGAUCUAGCCAUGGGCAGGUUGAAGGUUGGGUAACACUAACUGGAGGACCGAACCGACUAAUGUUGAAAAAUUAGCGGAUGACCUGUGGCUGGGGGUGAAAGGCCAAUCAAACCGGGAGAUAGCUGGUUCUCCCCGAAAGCUAUUUAGGUAGCGCCUCGUGAAUUCAUCUCCGGGGGUAGAGCACUGUUUCGGCUAGGGGGCCAUCCCGGCUUACCAACCCGAUGCAAACUGCGAAUACCGGAGAAUGUUAUCACGGGAGACACACGGCGGGUGCUAACGUCCGUCGUGAAGAGGGAAACAACCCAGACCGCCAGCUAAGGUCCCAAAGUCAUGGUUAAGUGGGAAACGAUGUGGGAAGGCCCAGACAGCCAGGAUGUUGGCUUAGAAGCAGCCAUCAUUUAAAGAAAGCGUAAUAGCUCACUGGUCGAGUCGGCCUGCGCGGAAGAUGUAACGGGGCUAAACCAUGCACCGAAGCUGCGGCAGCGACGCUUAUGCGUUGUUGGGUAGGGGAGCGUUCUGUAAGCCUGUGAAGGUGGCCUGUGAGGGUUGCUGGAGGUAUCAGAAGUGCGAAUGCUGACAUAAGUAACGAUAAAGCGGGUGAAAAGCCCGCUCGCCGGAAGACCAAGGGUUCCUGUCCAACGUUAAUCGGGGCAGGGUGAGUCGACCCCUAAGGCGAGGCCGAAAGGCGUAGUCGAUGGGAAACGGGUUAAUAUUCCCGUACUUGGUGUUACUGCGAAGGGGGGACGGAGAAGGCUAUGUUGGCCGGGCGACGGUUGUCCCGGUUUAAGCGUGUAGGUGUGUGUUCCAGGUAAAUCCGGUUCACUUUAACACUGAGGCGUGAUGACGAGGCACUACGGUGCUGAAGCAACAAAUGCCCUGCUUCCAGGAAAAGCCUCUAAGCAUCAGGUAACAUCAAAUCGUACCCCAAACCGACACAGGUGGUCAGGUAGAGAAUACCAAGGCGCUUGAGAGAACUCGGGUGAAGGAACUAGGCAAAAUGGUGCCGUAACUUCGGGAGAAGGCACGCUGACANGUAGGUGAAGUGAUUUACUCAUGGAGCUGAAGUCAGUCGAAGAUACCAGCUGGCUGCAACUGUUUAUUAAAAACACAGCACUGUGCAAACACGAAAGUGGACGUAUACGGUGUGACGCCUGCCCGGUGCCGGAAGGUUAAUUGAUGGGGUCAGCGCAAGCGAAGCUCCUGAUCGAAGCCCCGGUAAACGGCGGCCGUAACUAUAACGGUCCUAAGGUAGCGAAAUUCCUUGUCGGGUAAGUUCCGACCUGCACGAAUGGCGUAAUGAUGGCCAGGCUGUCUCCACCCGAGACUCAGUGAAAUUGAACUCGCUGUGAAGAUGCAGUGUACCCGCGGCAAGACGGAAAGACCCCGUGAACCUUUACUAUAGCUUGACACUGAACAUUGAGCCUUGAUGUGUAGGAUAGGUGGGAGGCUUUGAAGUGUGGACGCCAGUCUGCAUGGAGCCGACCUUGAAAUACCACCCUUUAAUGUUUGAUGUUCUAACGUGGACCCGUGAUCCGGGUUGCGGACAGUGUCUGGUGGGUAGUUUGACUGGGGCGGUCUCCUCCUAAAGAGUAACGGAGGAGCACGAAGGUUGGCUAAUCCUGGUCGGACAUCAGGAGGUUAGUGCAAUGGCAUAAGCCAGCUUGACUGCGAGCGUGACGGCGCGAGCAGGUGCGAAAGCAGGUCAUAGUGAUCCGGUGGUUCUGAAUGGAAGGGCCAUCGCUCAACGGAUAAAAGGUACUCCGGGGAUAACAGGCUGAUACCGCCCAAGAGUUCAUAUCGACGGCGGUGUUUGGCACCUCGAUGUCGGCUCAUCACAUCCUGGGGCUGAAGUAGGUCCCAAGGGUAUGGCUGUUCGCCAUUUAAAGUGGUACGCGAGCUGGGUUUAGAACGUCGUGAGACAGUUCGGUCCCUAUCUGCCGUGGGCGCUGGAGAACUGAGGGGGGCUGCUCCUAGUACGAGAGGACCGGAGUGGACGCAUCACUGGUGUUCGGGUUGUCAUGCCAAUGGCACUGCCCGGUAGCUAAAUGCGGAAGAGAUAAGUGCUGAAAGCAUCUAAGCACGAAACUUGCCCCGAGAUGAGUUCUCCCUGAGACUUAGAGUCUCCUGAAGGAACGUUGAAGACGACGACGUUGAUAGGCCGGGUGUGUAAGCGCAGCGAUGCGUUGAGCUAACCGGUACUAAUGAACCGUGAGGCUUAACCUU